AGAUUGAACGCUGGCGGCAUGCCUUACACAUGCAAGUCGAACGGCAGCACGGACUUCGGUCUGGUGGCGAGUGGCGAACGGGUGAGUAAUAUAUCGGAACGUACCCUGGAGUGGGGGAUAACGCGAGCGAAAGUUGCGCUAAUACCGCAUACGAUCUACGGAUGAAAGUGGGGGCUCGCAAGACCUCAUGCUCGUGGAGCGGCCGAUAUCUGAUUAGCUAGUUGGUAGGUAAAAGCUACCAAGGCCUACGAUCAGUAGCUGGUCUGAGAGGACGACCGACGCCACGACGUGGGACUGAGACACGGCCCAGACUCCUACGGGAGCAGCGAGGUGGGAAUUUGGAACAAGU
rnacentral:rRNA from 1 species